rnacentral:rRNA from 1 species
CUGCUGCCUUCCGUAGGAGUCUGGUCCGUGUCUCAGUACCAGUGUGGGGGACCUCCCUCUCAGAACCCCUAGACAUCGUCGCCUUGGUGGGCCGUUACCCCGCCAACAAGCUAAUGUCACGCAUGCCCAUCCGUCUCCGGAGUCGCCUCCUUUGGCCGAAAGAAGAUGCCUCCCCUCGGCCACAUGCGGUAUUAGGCCGGAUUUCUCCGGGUUAUCCCGCUGAAACGGGCAGGUUGCAUACGCGUUACUCACCCGUGCGCCGGUCG